UUCUGUGAACAUCAACAAUAAUGCAGUGGGAGACAGAGCAAGACUCCAUCUCAAAAUAAUAAUAAUAAUAAUAAUAAUAAUAAUAAUAAUAAUUAAAAGCACUUCAUGUUUUACUCAGCAUAAAAUACCAACUUCUUACCAUAUACCCUACAUGAUCUGGCCCUUCCUGUCUCUCAGGCUUCACUUCCUACUGCUUUAACCCCUGGUCGUAGAGAAUGUGGUAAUCAAAAUGCCAAAAGCAAGCAGACAUACAGAAAAUGAGUAGAGAAGCAAAGUGCCUUACCAGAUCUGCCUAGACUCUUUUCUGAACCUAUGUGUUUGGGAGGUCACUUCAGGCAUGUGGCAAUUUUGGAUGUCAUCUUUUGAUGUCUAAUGGGAAAUAGCAAACACCCAGUUUUAAAAGUUUUUACUUAAAAUUUUAUCUUACAAAAAUAUAUAUAACAUAUAUUAACACUUAAAAAAAUAGUACAGG
rnacentral:lncRNA from 1 species